ACUUCCAGUCAUUGGCUUCCGCAGCGUCAGCAAAAUGGUUUGCGGCGCAAAUGCCGACUGAGCAAACAUUGUAAUAACGCCGAGUUGACGGCAACGAGAGGUGGGAGGAAGCAAUGUUAUAAAUUUCAGGACCCAUUCAGAGCCCAGAAUGAGACACGAGAGUUGAGUUCAGGGAUAAAAUUAUCAUAGCAGAAAGCGCUGAGGUGAUGAUGUGCAUCGAAUAAUUUUUGUUUAUUGAAGAAAACCUCAUUCCUCCUCUCCAUCACCUGUGGGGACAAUCCUGCUCUUGGCUUCCUGAGGUUAUCGUGACACACAAGCUGGCCCACAGUUGCUUUUGGUCAUGGCAUUCAUCGCAGCGACAGAACGCAAACUAGGACACUCUUGCUGCUUCCCGUCCCACCAGUGGCAAAUACUGCCUCUUACUUCUGCUGCCAUGGAUGGAGCAACUUCCCCAUGCCAUCGCCCAACAUGCGGGACUGAAAUCCUUGUGAGCCCAACUCAGUCCUUCUUCCCCCAUGUUGGUUCUGUCAGGUAGUCCAUUCACAGCAAUGACAGUAACUAACACAGUGAUCGUCUUACCUUCUCUACAGACCUCUCCCCACCACCCUUCUCUCUCUCUCCCUCCCUCCCUCCCCACCCAUCCAUCAGUUUUGUCAGAAGAACCCUGUUGUUUUUUUAGAGCAGGUAUACAGGACAUGGCAAGAGAGGAGGAAACAGGGGCCACAGGGAGCUCAGAGGGCCAUAGCCCCACCCUUGAGGGAGAUGAGACUUGGAGAUACAGGAAAUGGGUCUGCCAGAGUGCUGGCACCAGUGUGUCAAUAUUGGUUCGUGUUUGUGAGGCCAGGUUUAAAGGACAAACAACACCGAGUUAACUGUUAGUCAUGUUUCCUCCAACAGAUAGGGUAGGUCAAGGAAAAGAAAAGGAUGAACUAGCUAACAGGUGGAUGUCCUCUGUCUUACCCUGACUGUGGCAGGUUCUCCUGGAUGAUAUCACCCACUGUCUGCUCCUUUCCUCUUAGCACAAGGGGCUUCACUUGCACUACCCCUACAACCUCCCCGCGGGGACAACUACCUACAUCCCUCUCUCUCUUUUCAGAAUAAUUAUUCUGAGGUUUGUUGAUUUAGUUUUCCCCAAACCAAGAAGUUGUUGAGUAGCUUUUCCUUGAAACUUUGGUCAAGUGGAAGUUUCCAGUCAUGUGAUGCAGACUCACGUGAUGUUUUGUUGAGGCAAGACCCAGGAGAGGACACAUGAUGUUUGGAGAGAGUAUAAAUAGGACUCAGUGGGCAGGGCGGUUGUAUCGCUAGCCUUGCAAUGCUUCGGCUGGUCCUAGUCACUCCCGCUGACUCCUGAUUUGGCAGAGGCCUGGCAUUUUUUUUUGGAUCAUGCCACCAUGGUGGGCUAGGAGGGGGAUCAAAACAUUUGAGAACCCUUAUUAAAGUAGGUUUUGAAAAAAUCU
rnacentral:lncRNA from 1 species